ensembl:misc_RNA
CCAACAGCCCUGGAGACUGAUAUCCCUUCUUUUCGUUCAGAAAAGGCUGAGCACCUGCACUAGUGGAAACAUUUCCCCCUGUAGCCUUUCAUCACCUCUGAUGUGCAGAGACCACCUCCAGGCAGAAGGAACUCCAGUCUCUGUGGCUGGCGUUGAAGGCAGGUUGGC